rnacentral:tRNA from 1 species
GCAGGAGUGGCGGAAUUGGUAGACGCGCGGGACUUAGGAUCCCGUGGGGAAACCCGUCCGGGUUCGAGUCCCGGCUCUUGCA